CCUGGAAGCAUGAAAAUAGAAUAAGUUUAUGAUAUUGCGAUAAAGCGCUCAAUAUUGUGCUUCUCAUGUCCCACGUCGCGUGCUCACGAGCUGGUCUCUGGUGUCGACGUAGACCAUAGACCACAGUUACGACCAGUAGGUCUGUUGGAGCUGGACUCGGACCGACCUGCUGCGCGGUGUAGUCGAGCAGCGUGAGGCGGGUGCAGUCCACGAGCAGCGCGCGGGGGGCGGAGCGCGCGGCCGCCCACAGCAGGCGCCGCCCCACCAGCUCCGCGCUCAGGUACACGGCGCCCUGCGUCACGCGCACCACGCACACCUCCCCCGACCCCGUCUGUAUGCGUAUGAAGCUUUCAACAUAGCGAAGUGGUACUUCACGCCUGGACUAGGACUCGCUGUACAAUGUACAGGGUCGCGGCCUCUCAAGUACAUGGGCUGAGGAGCCGGAUGAGGAGGACAGUGCGCACCUUGACAGCCGCCGCGUGCAGGGCGGGCCGCAUGAGGCGCCGCACCAGCAGCGCCAGGCUCGCCAGGAUGCCGGCCAGCACCGCCAGCUCCACGUUCAGCGCGAUGCUGGUCACGAAGGUGAGCGCCAGCACGGAGAGCUCCAUGCGGUCCCGUCGCCACAGCCGGAGAACUGUUUCAAUAUCUAUCUGCAGUUUUGGGGCAGAGGAAACACAUUUUUUCUAGACAUUCACCGUAAUAAAAACAAAUAUUAACAGUUUUUUUGUUUAUUAAUUGCGUAGUGCCGACGUCACAGCCGGCGGGGAGAGGGGGAGGGGGCACGCUGCGCCACCAGCUGCUCAGCUCUAUGUACAAGCUCGAGAGCACAUUCAUAAUUGAAGUGAAUACUUCUUAGUAUCGUUGUGAUUCGAGAGUCGAUUAAACGAAAAAGCGACACAUAAAUUCAUAAGAUGUAACGUGGGAGAAAAUGACAUAAGAAGCAUCAUACGGUGUUUCUCUUUGUGCUCUACUUCGUACCUGAUAUUAAAAACUUAAAUUCUGAAUACAUCUAUGUAGUAUAUACAAAUAAAAUAUAAAAUAAUUAUCAAA